GUCUCUGGUUUCUGUCAAUAAUACACAGUGUGUGCUGCUUGUCAUUUGUGUGCUUCGAUUGUUUGCUUUACUGUUUCCUAACGUUUUAUUUUGGACUCUUGAAGGAAUUAAAUUCAAAAUAAGCUAUUCUAAUUUUAGUGACCGACGUAUUAUUAGUUAACUUUCUCUGUGCAUUUGCGUUAAUUAGUUUUGCAUGUGUGUGCAGCGGUGCGAUUAUAAUAAUUUAUUUAAAAUAAAUAAAACGCUUUAAUAAAUUAAUGUUUUUGAAUAAUAUAGACAUUAAAACCGGGUUGUAGUGUAACAUAACAAUACGCAAAUGCCAAUUGCGGGUAGAGUUUCGAUGACAAAUUCAGUUGGGGUGUGUUUGAGAGCGCGGUGGGACUAUGUUGUUUCUCAGUGCCUUAGCGAUCGGUAUGAUAAGUGGGCUGCAGAAUGUCACGACGGAGGUGCCGGCGCCGAGCAGUGACGGCAGCGCGGUGUCGAGCCCGGAGCGGGCGGUGAGCGACAUGGGUCUGGUGGAGCCCACUCGGUUGCCGGGGCAGGCGACGGACCUGGUGAAUGUGAGUGUGCACGAGCGGCCCUCGAUGUGGGACAUGUACCUGAACCACUGCCCGCGAUGGCGGCCGGUGAACCACGUGUUCUUCCAAGUGGCCAAUGUGUUUUUCCUGCUGUCGUUCCUGGCGCCGCACACGCCGAGCGGGCUGGUCUGGCUGCGGGUGGCCCUGAUGCUGGGGUGCGCCUUCUCCGGCAUGUGGGCGUGGAGCAUCGAGUGCUACCUUGACGCUGUGCUGUGGAACAGUGCAUUUAUUGUGAUAAACUUCAUUUACUUCUCCAUACAAUUUUAUUUGCUGCGCCCCAUCAAGUUCCACAAGGAUAUUGAGGAGGUUUACGUGGCGUUGUUCAAGCCUCUCCGUGUGUCGAGGAGGCAGUUCCGUCGUGUGCUCAUGUGUAUGCGCAACGUUAGGCACUUGAAGUGCCACGAACUGUAUGCGCACGAGAAGGUCACUAAAGUCGACAGCUUGUCUCUGGUGCUGUCGGGCAAACUUGUGGUGUCACAGAACCAGAGGGCGCUACACAUAGUGUUCCCUCAUCACUUCCUCGACUCGCCAGAAUGGUUUGGCGUGUCCACAGACGAGUUCUUUCAGGUGUCGAUAAUGGCGAUGGAAGAGUCUCGGGUACUGGUGUGGCACCGAGACAAGCUGAAGCUCUCCAUCAUGUCAGACGCCUUCCUACAGGCCGUGUUCGACCACAUACUGGGUCGGGAUGUUGUUCAUAAACUUAUGCAGGUGAGCGAAACAAUGGCGGUGUCGAACGGACAUCUGCCGAACAGCUACGAGGAAGGCGAGGAUAAACCAAUGCUGGUCGUCAAGAAAGCGGGAGACGGGCCAGGGAUCACCGCUUUGCUUAACCGACAGCUGCAAGCGGGUCGAGAUUGCUAUGCGUGCUAGGCCGUGGGUCGUGUGCGUAACGUUGUGUUGUUGUGCGUGUCGAUGACUGCGGAGCCGCGCAGCGCCGCCUGCGCCACACCACGGACGACGAGCUUGCUCCCCGCCCCUCCAUUCAUAUACUUCACGAUUAUACUUACUUGCUUAUGAGCUGUGUUUUAUAACGCAGCGAAUAUCACUUUCCAGGAUGUCUCAUUGUAUCUAAAAUCAAAUAAGAACUACAUUGCGAGGGUUCUGUCAAUAGAUUUUAGAUAUUAUUUUAAUAAGGACAAUAUUGAUAAAAGCUUGACAGGCCAUAAUGCUUUGCGUUGAGCAUUGCUACAACUGGUAAAAUGUAAACCGGUUUCAUAGAUGAAAAAAAGUUCUUAUUUCCGGUACGAUGGAUAAGGAUCAAUUCAGAAUUCAAAUUUUUAAAAAGAUCUAAGAUUAAGAUUUAAAAAAUAAUCUUCAAUGAACCAAUCAAAAUUAUUUUUGGCGACGUUUAAAAUUUUUGUGCGAUGUUAUUAAAAUAUGAUGAGUAUUAAUCGUGAAGUGUAAAACAAUCCCUUCCCAUUAUUCCUCACUACCAUAUAACAAGCUUAUUCAUGCCAUACAAACUUCUAGGCCCAAAGUUCACCGAUAAUAUAAGAGUUUAAAAUAAAAAUAAUUCCUUCUGACUUUGACUUAAAAUAAUUAUUUACUAUGUGUUUUCAAUUCAAGUGUCUUAAAUAUAUUUAAGAAAAAAAAAAAGUUUUAUUUUGUCGAUAACUUGGGCCUAAAUGAGAAGUGAUCGAUGAAAAAUGUUUGGUCAAUUGUUUAAUUUGAUAAUUUUUAAGGUAUUUGGCAACUUUUAGAAGAUUAUGUGUCAGGUACAGUCUUGACUCUAAAACAUGUUUUAGAGUGAGGUUCAUGGCUCAUGAGCCAUGAAAACUAUUUCCAUUGUUAGAGAGCCGUUAGAACAGCGGUCACAUUGGCAGACCUUAACGCCAGUUCUAACUUUAUUGGCUUCCGUUUUUAUUUAACAAUCGCCCAGUGUUUUAAAUUAUGAAUUUUCAUGAUCACUUCUCAUUUGAAUACUUAUUAUAAAUCAGUAUUGUAUCAUUACAUCACAUUAUUUAUGAAAAAUCCAUGUCUAUUCAUACAAAUCUCAUAUUCACAUAAUAUAUCAAUUUAAGUAUUUUAUAUUAUGGUAAAGCGUGUGGUGGCUUUUAAGAGCUUAUUUAUCAUAAAGUAUGUAUUAAAUGCAUUAUAUUUUUAUAUGAAGGGCUGAGUUUUCAAUCGCUCUAUAAAACUUUUAUUUGAAAAAUAAAGUUAAUGUCAGUGUGACAGAUUUUAUGAAGAAAUUAGUUCAAACUAAUUUUAAUUUUAUUUUUAAAAGUUGGUAGACUAUUGAAAAAAUCGGUCCUAAGUCAGGGUAAGUGUCCAAUAAGGUUGGGUAGUUAUUAAUAAAAUUAGCUGUAGUAUAAUUAUUUUCAAAAAUUAAUUAUUUGGCAUAAGAUUAGCUCUCUAAAUUUAUGAAAUGGUGGACACUUAUUUUGGCACAAAAUUAUAUUUAAUUUGUUUAUCAUUGAAAACAUCACUGCAUUAAUAUCUAAAAACAUUUAUAGUAACUUUAUUAUAUUGCCCUUUGAUCAUUAAAAUUAUUAUAGCUUCAUAUAAUAAAGAAGUAUUAAAAUCAUAAGUAUUCAGCAUGUGUAGCUCUGUCUGAGUAUUAAGUGUGUACCUAGUCUUAUAAUGCUCUCAUAUAACUUACAAAUGUAUUAUUAUGAUAUUGAUGGUGCAUGUGAUUUAAUGGUCAGGAUGAGUGAACAGUAGUUUUGCGUUCAUUUCUAUCCGAUUUUUUUAAAACUAAUAGCUUAAAACCGGGUGACGGACACAGGUUUUUUUUAUCCCCAAUCCCUGAACGGGCAGUUUGUUCCCUCGGAGCGCGUGCCGAACCGCGAGCUAAAAAUAUAAAACUGUCAUUUUCUGUAGAUCAAGCCACUUGAAAUCUAUUUGGAUAUUCAGCUGAAAUUAGGUUUCCCGGUGAUGUUAAAGUAAGUUUACCUGUUUGCCCAUCCUGACCUUACUGUAUGCUUUAAUAAUAGUUGUUACCUUAACCCGCUAAGUAUAUUUUAGUAUACGUAAGUUAUAUUAAGUUGUGUAAGCAGUAUCACUCCCGUAGUCCCAUCCUUUGUCCGAACUCCCAAAGCAUGUUUGGAAGAUCGACUGUUGAAGCGACGGACCCGAACGCGUGGCGACUGGGCCGGAUAGAGGAGGCGGAGCACGAGACGCCCGUGUGAGGCCGCGCCCUGCACGUCGCCGUGCGCGCGCACCACAAGCGCGCACGGCGGUAGACGUGCACAUGUAUGUACUGCAGGACUGUGUGACAGGUGACGUGGCUACCCGCGCUCCAUAUAUGCAAACCCGUGACUCGAUACCAUCGGUGUGAUGCGUUCCAUUCAAUAGUCGAUUUUGUCGACUCGGAUACUUUCACUUACGAAUUAUAUCGAAUAAUUCGAUUUUAGUGAUAAGGUUACAUUUUAAAGUUAAAGAUUUCUUGGAACCAUUGUGAACUUAAUGAAUCGAUUAUAAUGUUAGUCGAUAAAAAUACCUAGUCAGUAAAUUGAAGUGGUUGAAUAAAAUCUUUACCUCUACAUAAUCGUUUAUGCAUAAUAAUUUAAUCGACUAAUUCGACUAUUAAAUUGAACGAAUUGUGACUUGUUCAACUUUUUACAUGCCAGGGAAACAUCGUUACUUUGAUCUUAAUAUUGAAGUAUAGUGACAAAGUUUACAACGAUGGGUCUCUGCCAUGUAAAUAAUGAUUAUUUAAAGUAUAUCUUACAAAUGAUCUGAAACGAAAUAGCACAUUGAAAAAAAGACUAGAAUCAUUAUUUUGUGUAUACUAUUUAUGUAGAUAGAUUAUAACUAAAUAUUGAAUCGAUAUGACGUCGUAUUGUCCCCAAUAAAGUAAAUAAACGAGAGGUUAUAUUUAAAUAAAUGUUUUGUGUAAAUACAUUAUAAUAUGAUAUGAUGAUGAUAUUGUAUAGAGAUUGAGAAAUUGUGUGUACAAAAUAUGUAUUCUACUCGAUUCGUAGUGGCCAUGUUGUGGAAACAGAGUCUAUACUUACAGCCUUCUAAAUCUCACAGUUUUAUCAACUUGUAGUAGUUUCCAAGCUUAAACAUAUCUAUAGGCUACUUAUCUAUUAGGCUAUAUGUAUGUAUGUACUUUACUGUAGGUGAUUUUUGUUUUAUUUAUUUUCAAUAGAGAUAUAACGUAAGAGUUUAUCUGGCAGCUCAUAUAAGUGCAGGUCACCGAUAUAUCAAGUUAACAUGUGCAAAUAAUGCAUAAUUAUAGACUUAUUUGAUUAUUUGUAUUUUUCACAGAAAUUACCCAACAGCUGAGUAUAAACUUGCCAUUAAGUUCAGUUUCAUUAGGUUGUAAUCCUAAAAUACACUUAAAGUAUGAAUGCUAUAAAACUGUGAUUUUUUCAAGGGAAUGAUACUGCAACGAUUCCUCUCAUAAUGACUUCUAUCCCUGUAAAACACCACAAGUUAUCUUUUGACGAUAUAAGCCACAUAAUAAAAAUGUACCUGAUAAUCAUUUGUUGUGAAGAAACUUGUCGAGUGGACAAUAAGAGUUUAAAGCCGCUGCGAGCGCUGCACUGACCUUAAAAUAGUUUGAUUAUAUUAUAUCAAAUAAUAAAUUAGUAUUUAGCAUAUGCAGCGCAAACAGCGGCUUUAAAACAAAACUAUCAUUGAUCUUUGUAAGUCACAAAUUAAACAAGCAGGCCUUAAAUAAUUGCAAUAGAAUGUUACCAUAGAGUUGCAAAACUGACUAAGAAUUGAUGUCAUUUUCAAUCUUAUUUCUAUAAGAAUAAGGUCGGAAAUAUUUUAAACCGGUUGUAGCGUUUAGCAGUUUUGCUCAUAAAGUGUAUCUUAAUCACGAAAUAGGGAAUGACCACAUUAAACUGAAAUAUUGACCUGAUUAUAAUAUUGUUGUACAAAUUGUUGGUGGUUAUCGAACAAUGCACACUCAAGAUGUCUGGACACAUCAAUUAGUCGUUAAUUAUUAUUUCCUAAAGCAAUAAGUACAGUUUUAGAGAUACUGAUUGGCUGUGUCUGGCAAGUUGACAAACUGAA